rnacentral:rRNA from 1 species
AGAGUUUGAUCCUGGCUCAGGACGAACGCUGGCGGCGCGCCUAACACAUGCAAGUCGAACGAGAGAGAGGGAGCUUGCUUCCUUGAUCGAGUGGCGAACGGGUGAGUAACGCGUGAGGAACCUGCCUCAAAGAGGGGGACAACAGUUGGAAACGACUGCUAAUACCGCAUAAGCCCGCGACCCGGCAUCGGGAAGAGGGAAAAGGAGCAAUCCGCUUUGAGAUGGCCUCGCGUCCGAUUAGCUAGUUGGUGAGGUAACGGCCCACCAAGGCGACGAUCGGUAGCCGGACUGAGAGGUUGAACGGCCACAUUGGGACUGAGACACGGCCCAGACUCCUACGGGAGGCAGCAGUGGGGAAUAUUGCACAAUGGGGGAAACCCUGAUGCAGCGACGCCGCGUGGAGGAAGAAGGUCUUCGGAUUGUAAACUCCUGUUGUUGAGGAAGAUAAUGACGGUACUCAACAAGGAAGUGACGGCUAACUACGUGCCAGCAGCCGCGGUAAAACGUAGGUCACAAGCGUUGUCCGGAAUUACUGGGUGUAAAGGGAGCGCAGGCGGGCGAUCAAGUUGGAAGUGAAAUCCAUGGGCUCAACCCAUGAACUGCUUUCAAAACUGGUCGUCUUGAGUAGUGCAGAGGUAGGCGGAAUUCCCGGUGUAGCGGUGGAAUGCGUAGAUAUCGGGAGGAACACCAGUGGCGAAGGCGGCCUACUGGGCACCAACUGACGCUGAGGCUCGAAAGUGUGGGUAGCAAACAGGAUUAGAUACCCUGGUAGUCCACACCGUAAACGAUGAUUACUAGGUGUUGGGAGAUUGACCCUCUCAGUGCCGCAGUUAACACAAUAAGUAAUCCACCUGGGGAGUACGACCGCAAGGUUGAAACUCAAAGGAAUUGACGGGGGCCCGCACAAGCAGUGGAGUAUGUGGUUUAAUUCGACGCAACGCGAAGAACCUUACCAAGUCUUGACAUCCUCUGACGAACGUAGAAAUACGUUUUCUCUUCGGAGCAGAGAGACAGGUGGUGCAUGGUUGUCGUCAGCUCGUGUCGUGAGAUGUUGGGUUAAGUCCCGCAACGAGCGCAACCCUUAUGGUCAGUUACUACGCAAGAGGACUCUGGCCAGACUGCCGUUGACAAAACGGAGGAAGGUGGGGAUGACGUCAAAUCAUCAUGCCCUUUAUGACUUGGGCUACACACGUACUACAAUGGCGUUAAACAAAGA